UAGUAUCGGCACACCUCAAAUCUACCGCAUC
rnacentral:piRNA from 1 species